rnacentral:rRNA from 1 species
AGUGAACGCUGGCGGUAGGCCUAACACAUGCAAGUCGAACGGCAGCACAGUAAGAGCUUGCUCUUACGGGUGGCGAGUGGCGGACGGGUGAGGAAUACAUCGGAAUCUACUUUUUCGUGGGGGAUAACGUAGGGAAACUUACGCUAAUACCGCAUACGACCUACGGGUGAAAGCAGGGGAUCUUCGGACCUUGCGCGAUUGAAUGAGCCGAUGUCGGAUUAGCUAGUUGGCGGGGUAAAGGCCCACCAAGGCGACGAUCCGUAGCUGGUCUGAGAGGAUGAUCAGCCACACUGGAACUGAGACACGGUCCAGACUCCUACGGGAGGCAGCAGUGGGGAAUAUUGGACAAUGGGCGCAAGCCUGAUCCAGCCAUACCGCGUGGGCGAAGAAGGCCUUCGGGUUGUAAAGCCCUUUUGUUGGGAAAGAAAAGCAGCAGGUUAAUACCCCGCUGUUCUGACGGUACCCAAAGAAUAAGCACCGGCUAACUUCGUGC